rnacentral:rRNA from 1 species
UACGUAGGGUGCGAGCGUUGUCCGGAAUUAUUGGGCGUAAAGAGCUUGUAGGCGGUCUGUCGCGUCUGCUGUGAAAAUCCGGGGCUCAACCCCGGACUUGCAGUGGGUACGGGCAGACUAGAGUGUGGUAGGGGGAGACUGGAAUUCCUGGUGUAGCGGUGAAAUGCGCAGAUAUCAGGAGGAACACCGAUGGCGAAGGCAGGUCUCUGGGCCACUACUGACGCUG